rnacentral:rRNA from 1 species
GAUGAACGCUGACAGAAUGCUUAACACAUGCAAGUCGAUGGGGAAGUGGUGCUUGCACCAUGGUAACCAUGGCGGACGGGUGAGUAACGCGUAAGGAACUUGCCUGCGGGACCGGGAUAACAGCAGGAAACUGCUGACAAGACCGGAUAAGGUCAUGAAGCUGCAUAGCUUAGUGAUGAAGGGAGACGCCUGCGGAGAGCCUUGCGUCCUAUUAGCUAGUUGGAGGGGUAACGGCCCACCAAGGCGAAGAUAGGUAGCCGGCCUGAGAGGGUGGACGGCCACAAGGGGACUGAGAUACGGCCCUUACUCCUACGGGAGGCAGCAGUGGGGAAUAUUGGACAAUGGGGGCAACCCUGAUCCAGCAAUUCUGUGUGCACGAAGACGGUUUUCGGAUUGUAAAGUGCUUUCAGCAGGGAAGAAGUAAGUGACGGUACCUGCAGAAGAAGCGACGGCUAAAUACGUGCCAGCAGCCGCGGUAAUACGUAUGUCGCGAGCGUUAUCCGGAAUUAUUGGGCAUAAAGGGCAUCUAGGCGGCCUUUCAAGUCAGGGGUGAAAACCUGCGGCUCAACCGCAGGCCUGCCUUUGAAACUGAUAGGCUGGAGUACCGGAGAGGUGGACGGAACUGCACGAGUAGAGGUGAAAUUCGUAGAUAUGUGCAGGAAUGCCGAUGAUGAAGAUAGUUCACUGGACGGUAACUGACGCUGAAGUGCGAAAGCCGGGGGAGCGAACAGG